CUCGUGACACGGCGGGACACACCAUGCGCGCAGCACAACCAGGCUAGGUUCGAAAGUCAGUGAAUUUUUUUUUUUUAUUGAGUGUACCAUCGCCAAAACCCACCGCAUAUACCAAAAUAGCCAACGGAAGACACCAUGACUGCCCAGUUUGGGUAUGGCGGUAUCCUCAGGCUGUUCUAUGGAUCAACUCUGUGAAGAAGACCGCCACUAUUUUUGAAGGAGUAGGGAUGUUGUUUUUGGGUUCUCUUCAAAAGGAACCAUAAAGAUACCAGAAGAAAUAACUUGCCGGAAGUAAGUUAGACCUGGAGAUAUCUCUGCUUUCCAACGCCCAGUGCUUCCAGUGGACAUGUUUGAGAGGAGGAAAUCCGUCAGCCAGUGAAGAUGAACCCUUACGUUACGUCUCACUUCCGGAGGGAUCUUUUCCCCCACUUCCACUUGUUGUAGUCGUUGGGUUCGGCCCUUCUGUCACUUCUUUAAGCACAUGGGUUUCCAUAUUGUUUGGCUGAGUCGUGAAUCAGGGCCCCUGACAUUCAGACCCUGACAGACUUGUUCCAAGUGUUUUGAAGUAUGCUCUCUGCUAUGCUGGACUAGACCAGAUCCUGUGAAUCUGCAAGUUUCACAACCUGAUGAUCGGCGACCCUAAGACAGGAUGUCUAGGUGAUUGGUUUGCAAGCUCAGUGUUCAGCACUCAUCUAUAUCAUCCCAUAUUCUGCAAUACUUUUGCAAUGUUUUCAUCAG
ensembl:lncRNA